rnacentral:misc_RNA from 1 species
AAGUUUCGGUUUCUGUUUUCAAUUUUCAGAAAAUAUUUGUUUACUUAACGUAUGCAUAUUGAUGUCACAGAUAAUCAUUGAAUUUAAUCAAGUUUAGCUUCUCCUAUUAUCAUGUCUAAUAACAUACCUGUCUAAGUUAAUUUUAGCCAAGAUCUGAAUGUUGCUAAGACGGGAAUGUUUACUUUUCCCUAAGGAAUCUGGUUGUCUUACUCAAAUGUCUUCAGCAAAUUGCAAUGAUGCUUUAUGUGACAAUCAUUCAUCAUCAGCAUUGGCACGACAGCCCUUUGUGAGCCUGGGCCUUCCUCAGAAGCUUUUCCCAUUCUGCCCUUCUCCCAGCAAUUGAUUUCCAGUUCUUUCCUUUUAGAAUUGCAGAAUCCUCAUCCACACAGUCUUUCCAUCUCUUUUUGGGUCUUCCUCUUGGCCUACCAACCAGUUAUGUAAUGGCACAAUAAAUUAAAAGCUAUGUUUUUAA